UACGGAGGGUGCGAGCGUUAAUCGGAAUUACUGGGCGUAAAGCGCACGUAGGUGGUUCGUUAAGUCGGAUGUGAAAUCCCUGGGCGUAACCUAGGAAUUGCAUUUAAUACUUUUUAUCUAGAGUAUUGUAGGGGGAAGUGGAAUUUCCGGUGGUAGCGGUGAAAUGCGUAGAUAUCGGAAGGAACACCAGUGGCGAAGGCGACUUCCUGGACAAAUACUCGACACUGAGACACGAAAGCGUGGGGAGCAAACAGGAUUA
rnacentral:rRNA from 1 species